UACGUAGGUGACCAGCGUUGUCCGGAUUUACUGGGCGUAAAGAGCGCGCAGGCGGUCGUUCAAGUCGAGUGUGAAAGCCCCCGGCUCAACUGGGGAGGGUCACUCGAUACUGAUCGACUUGAAGGCAGGAGAGGGAAGCGGAAUUCCCGGUGUAGUGGUGAAAUGCGUAGAUAUCGGGAGGAACACCAGAGGCGAAGGCGGCGACCUGGACAGGUACUGACACUCAACUACGAAAGCGUGGGGAGCAAACAGG
rnacentral:rRNA from 1 species